rnacentral:lncRNA from 1 species
UGAGUCUUUGUUUGGCAACAUUAUGAAAGGUUCUCAAUUUUUUUGACUUGUAAAAUAGGAACAUAAUUGGAAAAUGCCAUGGAUACCCCCCACUCUCAACUUAAACUGGAGACUGAAAAACAAAGUGAAACACACUCUGAGACCAUCAAGACCCACGCCUCACCACAUUGGACCUGAGCCCUAGGACCAUGCCUCAGGACUACCUGGUAUGAUGACUCCUUGCUGUCCCCAGUCCACCUGGCCGUGCUGCUGCUCCAGUUUCAACUGUUCUGCCUGCGGCUAUGGAACCCUGACCUGUUCACCGGACGUGCUUGUUGCACCCUCGAC